ensembl:lncRNA
GACUGGAGUAGUGGAUGAUGAAAAUUCAGCUUUGCAUCACAUAAAUAAAUUAUAUUUUUUACAGUAGAUUAAAAUGGAAAAGCGCUAUUUUAAAUUGUAAUAAUAUUUCACAAUAUUAUAGUUUUUUUCUGUAUUUUUUGAUCAAAUAAAUGCAUCCUUGAUGAGCUGAAGAAACAUCUUUGAAAAAACAAAAAAAAUCUUACUCAUCNGCAGAAGCAUCUCUGAUUAGCUGAUUGGUGUGAUGGACUGUUUUAGUGGGGAUGAAUCAUUGAGAACAUGCAGUGUGCUGUUGUUUAGGUUUGUUUUUGACUCUUCUGUCCGAGAGUAUAUAGAGCAGCUUGUGCAAUUAAAUGUUUAAAAGUUGUGAAAUUCUGCAGAAGAACAACCGAGGCGAGUCACCAAAUCAGUGAUCCUGGAGUAUUAGAACGGAACGUGUGGAAAAUAAAAGCUUCUGAUCAGCUGAAGUUUUCCUUCGGUUAUAUUCACCGUUCUGUAUGAAAGAAAGUGAUUUGAUUUGUUUGUUUGAGGGUUUCAGUGGUCUCUCUCCUGUGAAUAUAUAUCUUUCCAUUCAGACUCGUUCAGCGUUGUGAGUGGCCUCUCUAGUCUGAAUUCAGUCUGUUAAUCUGUUAUCUAUUGUUGGAGUGGUUUGGGUGUUUAUAGAAAGCUGGUAAAUGUUUUUGAAACGGAAUUAUUAGUGUUGUGUUAAUGAUUUUAAGAUUAUUGGUGAUUAGGUGGAUGGUAUUUGAGAACAUUCUGUGCGUACAGGUGAUUGUAGGUACAGGGAAGUUCCCUUGUUUCACAAUCUUGGGUAAUCUGUAAAUGGGUGAAAAUAAUGUUUCACCUAAAUUUCUUAAAACGGACUUUGACACUGAGGAGGAGCCUGGAUGUCAGAUAUUUAAAGGAGCGUUUGUCUCGUCUACAGCUGGAGAACACCAACGGAAACGAAGAUUUCUGCUGUGAUCUACCGGGAAGAAAGUGUGAAGAUGGAGGUAAGUUAAUCUGUUUCCUGCAUUUCGUCACUUCCUGCAGAUUAUUAUCACCUCUCCAGUGAUGUU